GGCAACCUACCUUAUCGACUGGGAUAACUCCUGGAAACCGGGGCUAAUACCGGAUAACAUCUAGCACCUCCUGGUGCCGGAUUAAAAGAGGGCUUCUUGCUCUCACGAUGAGAUGGGCCCGCGGCGCAUUAGCUAGUUGGAGAGGUAAUGGCUCCCCAAGGCGACGAUGCGUAGCCGACCUGAGAGGGUGAUCGGCCACACUGGGACUGAGACACGGCCCAGACUCCUACGGGAGGCAGCAGUAGGGAAUCUUCCGCAAUGGACGAAAGUCUGACGGAGCAACGCCGCGUGAGUGAUGAAGGGUUUCGGCUCGUAAAGCUCUGUUAUGAGGGAAGAACACGUACCGUUCGAAUAGGGCGGUACCUUGACGGUACCUCAUCAGAAAGCCACGGCUAACUACGUGCCAGCAGCCGCGGUAAUACGUAGGUGGCAAGCGUUGUCCGGAAUUAUUGGGCGUAAAGCGCGCGCAGGCGGCCUUUUAAGUCUGAUGUGAAAUCUUGCGGCUCAACCGCAAGCGGCCAUUGGAAACUGGGAGGCUUGAGUACAGAAGAGGAGAGUGGAAUUCCACGUGUAGCGGUGAAAUGCGUAGAUAUGUGGAGGAACACCAGUGGCGAAGGCGACUCUCUGGUCUGUAACUGACGCUGAGGCGCGAAAGCGUGGGGAGCAAACAGGAUUAGAUACCCUGGUAGUCCACGCCGUAAACGAUGAGUGCUAGGUGUUAGGGGUUUCGAUGCCCGUAGUGCCGAAGUUAACACAUUAAGCACUCCGCCUGGGGAGUACGGCCGCAAGGCUGAAACUCAAAGGAAUUGACGGGGGCCCGCACAAGCAGUGGAGCAUGUGGUUUAAUUCGAAGCAACGCGAAGAACCUUACCAGGUCUUGACAUCCUUUGACCACUCUGGAGACAGAGCUUCCCCUUCGGGGGCAAAGUGACAGGUGGGUGCAUGGUUGUCGUCAGCUCG
rnacentral:rRNA from 2 species